GACGAACGCUGGCGGCGUGCUUAACACAUGCAAGUCGAACGGAAAGGCCCUGCUUUUGUGGGGCGCUCGAGUGGCGAACGGGUGAGUAACACGUGAGUAACCUGCCCCUGACUUUGGGAUAACUUCAGGAAACUGGGGCUUAUACCGGAUAGGAGCUCCUGCUGCAUGGUGGGGGUAGGAAAGUUUCGGCGGUUGGGGAUGGACUCGCGGCUUAUCUGCUUGUUGGUGGGGUAGUGGCUUACCAAGCGUUUGACGGGUAGCCGGCCUGAGGGGGGGACCGGCCACAUUGGGACUGAGAUACGGCCCAGACUCCUACGGGGGGCAGCGGUGGGAAUUUUGGCACAUUGGGCAGAAGCCUGUGGCGGCAACGCCGGGUGCGGGAUGACGGCCUUCGGUUUGUAAACCGCUUUCGCCUGGGACGAGCCGUUAGUGACGGUAAUGAGUAAAGAAGCACCGGCUAACUACGUG
rnacentral:rRNA from 1 species